AACUGACUAUGGUCUGCCGGAACUCGUCCGCCGGAAUUCUGGUUGAAACUCGUCUGCCGAAGUUCUUGUCUGUUGGAACUGGUCCGCCGAAGUUCUGGUCUGUUGGAACUGGUCCGCCGGAAUGAGUCCGAUGGAUCUGGUCUGCCGGAAUAAGUUCGCUGGAUCUGGUCCGUCAGAAGUAGUCCAUUGGAUCUGGUCCGCCGGAUUUCAUCUGCUGGAUCUGGUCCGCCGGAAUUCGUCCGCUAGAUCUGGUC
rnacentral:lncRNA from 1 species